rnacentral:rRNA from 1 species
GCGCAGCAGCGCGAAUUUUUCUCAAUGGGGGCAACCCUGAAGGAGCGACGCCGCGUGGAGGAUGAAGGCUUUCGGGUUGUAAACUCCUGUCAUUUGAGAACAAGGUACGAGUGUUAACUGUACUCGUAUUGAUAGUAUCAGAAGAGGAAGGGACGGCUAACUCUGUGCCAGCAGCCGCGGUAAUACAGAGGUCCCAAGCGUUGUUCGGAUUCAUUGGGCGUAAAGGGUGCGUAGGUGGCGCCGUAAGUGGGGUGUGAAAUCUCGGGGCUUAACUCCGAAACUGCAUUCCAUACUGCGGUGCUUGAGGACUGGAGAGGAGACUGGAAUUCAUGGUGUAGCAGUGAAAUGCGUAGAGAUCAUGAGGAAGACCAGUGGCGAAGGCGGGUCUCUGGACAGUUCCUGACACUGAGGCACGAAGGCCAGGGGAGCAAACGGGAUUAGAUACCCGUGUAGU